GCCUGGAUAGCUCAGCUGGUCAGAGAUGGUGCUGAUAAUGCCAAAGUUGCAGGUUUGAUCCCUGUAUGGGACA